rnacentral:ncRNA from 2 species
UACUUGGUUGAUCCUGCCAAGGAAGCACACUUAGGUCAUAGAUUAAGCCAUGCAAGUGUUAGUUCAGGUAACGAAACUGCGAAUAGCUCAUUAAUACGCUCAGAAUCUAUUUGGCGGCGACCAACAGGUCUUAAAUGGAUAGCAGCAGCAACUCUGGUGCUAAUACAUGCGAUUGUUUCUCCAGAUGUGAAUUAUGGAGGAAAAGUUGACCUCAUCAGAGGCACGCCAUUCGACUGAGUGACCUAUCAGCUUGUACUUAGGGUCUUUACCUAGGUAGGCUAUCACGGGUAACGGGCGGUUACCGUCGGACUGCCGGAGAAGGCGCCUGAGAGAUAGCGACUAUAUCCACGGGUAGCAGCAGGCGCGAAACUUUCCCACUCGAGACUUUCGGAGGAGGUAAUGACCAGUUCCAUUGGUGCCUUUUGGUACUGUGGAUAGGGGUACGGUUUUCCACCGUACCGAAACCUAGCAGAGGGCCAGUCUGGUGCCAGCAGCUGCGGUAAUUCCAGCUCUGCGAGUUUGCUCCCAUAUUGUUGCAGUUAAAACGCCCGUAGUCUGAAUUGGCCAGCAAUGGUCGUACGUAUUUUUACGUUCACUGUGAACAAAUCAGGACGCUUAGAGUAUGGCCACAUGAAUGACUCAGCGCAGUAUGAAGUCUUUGUUUUCUUCCGAAAACAAGCUCAAUGAGAGCCAUCGGGGGUAGAUCUAUCUCAUGACGAGUGGUGGAAUACUUUGACUCAUGAGAGAGAAGCUGAGGCGAAGGCGUCUACCUAGAGGGUUUCUGUCGAUCAAGGGCGAGAGUAGGAGUAUCCAACAGGAUUAGAGACCCUGGUA